rnacentral:rRNA from 1 species
GUAUCCUGCUGACAUUGGCUGACCUUCAGAAAAGGGAGCAAGAGUCAGCCCUGGUUAAUACUUGGAUGGGAGACCACCAGGAAAUGUCAGAAGCUGGAAACU